rnacentral:rRNA from 1 species
CGUAGAGAAAUCGAGUCUUAAUAGGGCGUUUAGUUGCUGGGUAUAGACCCGAAACCAGGCGAUCUAUCCAUGAGCAGGUUGAAGGUUGGGUAACACUAACUGGAGGACCGAACCCACUGUCGUUGAAAAGCCAGGGGAUGACUUGUGGAUAGGGGUGAAAGGCUAAUCAAGCCUGGUGAUAGCUGGUUCUCCCCGAAAGCUAUUUAGGUAGCGCCUCGGACGAAUACCAUAGGGGGUAGAGCACUGUUUCGGCUAGGGGGUCAUCCCGACUUACCAAACCG